rnacentral:lncRNA from 1 species
GGAAAGGUCUCCAGGGCAACAACACACAUGGAGCUGUCGCCUCCUCCAAUGACAAUGCCCUCGCUGAAAUCCCCCUGAAGGACCUGCCUGGGGCUCUUCUCGAGCAGUGCCACUCUUCAGAAAUGUGUCCAUGGCAGUUUGCUUAGUUUCUUUCUUUUCAUCAUAGAGCCACUGGAACAUCUUUCUUUUCUUCUUAACCAGCUCCCCACCAUGCUUCCAAAGGCCACGUUUCAUCUUCCCUGCAUCGCUACAGUGAAGUGUUACAGUUGUACAGUUCCCAGUCUGGCCUUGGCUUGCUGAAAGAAAACUUUGUAUGUAUUUUGUAAGGCAUAGAUUCUAUACUUUUCUAUGCAAAAAGAAAAAAAAUUAACAAAAUUGUAAAUUUUAUUGUUUAAAC